rnacentral:rRNA from 1 species
GAUAAACGCUGGCGGCGUGCCUAACACAUGCAAGUCGAACGCGCUUCUUUCGGGAAGCGAGUGGCGGACGGGUGAGGAACACGUGGGUGAUCUACCUUUCGGUGAGGAAUACCGGCGAGAAAUCGCCGACAAUACCGCAUACGUUUCGCAAGAAACAAAGUCGUAAGACGCCGAGAGAUGAGCCUGCGUCCGAUUAGCUAGCUGGUGGGGUAAAGGCCUACCAGGGCGACGAUCGGUAGCUGGUCUGAGAGGACGAUCAGCCACACUGGGAUUGAGA